rnacentral:lncRNA from 1 species
GUAAAUGUAUGUACGACCUCACGCGCCUAAAGAAAAAUAUAACGCGCCUAAAGAAGAUCCUAAUAAGAGAGAGUCCCUCUCUCCCGGUUGAAACUUGUCGGCGGCCUCGCCACAAUGUUUCAGUCCGGGAGAGGAAACGUUUAGCUAGAGUGCGCGCCCGUUUUUAUUUGCUUUUUUUCAUGUUUUCUUCUGGGUUUGGUGGGUGAGAUGGAGGGGAGGAUGAGAUGGGUUAGGGAGUUGUAGAUCCAACUGAGGUGGUCGGGGAAGGGUUCAGAUAUGGUCGUGGUUGUUUUGGUGGUCUUUGUAAGAUCUGGUCCCUAGUCGGGUUACGGAGAGUUAUCUCAGGGAGGUGCAACCAAGUUUGGGAGUGUUGGCCGCAGAUCUGAUGGUGGAGGCCUCGGCGAUCCGAGUUGUGCAAGUUAGUGGCGUAAGCCUCGAUCUGUAGCUUGUUGUAGGCUGGCGGAGAUGUUGUCGAAGGUGUGGAGGAUCAACGGAAGUAGGUCGGUGGAGUGGAUCUGGGCCACGGACUGGGCUGGUUUUGGGUGGGAUUCAGAUAUGGAGAAGCUUAUUUGGGCCUAUGCUGAAAUGGGCUUAGUCGUGGUGGUCUAGGCUGGGCUGCUACGUACAUCAUUUUGUUUGUGUUUUCUUUCCUGUUUGUUUUAUGUUUCCUUUAGUAGUUCUGUUGAUCCUUGUGGUUGGCAUUGUUUGGAUCAUUACAAACACCGUUGAUGAGUAAUGACAAUAUUCACCCGUUUUUAUUACGAGUAUUCACUACUUAGAGGCGGAGUUGACUCAAUGUCUUAAUCUUUCAUGUGAUAGAAGCCAUUGCCAUGUUGGAUUACCAGCGCUCCGUACCAACUUUGUUAGCAACUUAUCGGUUGAGUCUUCUGAUCUUGAUGAUCAUUUUUUUAGCCUCAUGGUGUAUAGGGUUAUGCCUUUUGGUUUAGGGUCAAGCCUUUUGGUCUUUUGUUUGAUAUUAGUGGUUCAUUGGUGGCUCUUGAUUGUAUCAUUCAUACAACUUGUAACUUCUUUCGUAUGAAUGACAACCCCAUUAACUUCUUCCGUAUGAAUGACAACCCCAUUUGAUCAAAAAAAAAAAUCAAUUUGUACGCAAAAUAGGAAUUGAUAUAUGCAUGUCGCAUACAUCAAUUUUUUGCGCAAGCGAGAGAUUUUUUGUGCUUCAAGUGCGAGAACGUACACUUCCUAACAGAAAUGUUGUGGACACAUGCUUCAUGAUAUCACUCAGAGUAGUUAGCCUCUCACUCCAGUCCAGAAAAAAUUGGUAAAUGGACAAGUAAAGUCCUUUUUCUUUUUUCUUUUUUAACAAGGAUAAGUAAAGUCCUUAAAGACUUAAAAUGAAAUGACCGACCACCUU